rnacentral:rRNA from 1 species
GACGUAGGGCGCGAGCGUUGUCCGGAUUUAUUGGGCGUAAAGAGCUCGUAGGCGGCUCGUUGCGUCGGCUGUGAAAACCCGCAGCUCAACUGUGGGCUUGCAGCUGAUACGGGCGGGCUGGAGUUCGGUAGGGGAGACUGGAAUUCCUGGUGUAGCGGUGAAAUGCGCAGAUAUCAGGAGGAACACCGGUGGCGAAGGCGGGUCUCUGGGCCGAAAUUGACGCUGAGGAGCGAAAGCGUGGGGAGCAAACAGG